rnacentral:lncRNA from 1 species
GGUAAACACGUCAAAGAUGAAUAAAAGGAGAUGUGGUAAAUGCGUUAAUGAUGAAUAAUUACAUUAGAUGUAUGUUUCAUUACAAUACGUUAUUCUGAUUGGCUAAUUAAGCAGUUGUAUCACUCAAUAAAACUUCUCAUUCAUGAUGACACGAGGUCCCACAAUAAAGUGCACAGGUAAAUGAAAUAAAAACUAGAUAAAAGGCGUGUUUUCAUGAUCCUAUAGGUAAAAAUGUAAUUAUAAGUAUUGAAUGCUUUUUUUUGUAAUUUUAUAGGGUUGUAAAAGCGUUGACCGUGCGCACAUUUUAAGUAUGAAGCGCUUCCGCGCUUCAUACAAAAUGUACUUCGGUCAACGCUUUUACACCCCAAUAAAUUUACAAAAAAGAGCAUUCAAUUCUUAAGUAAAAGGGGAUGUGGUAAACACGUCAAAGAUGACAUAAAGGAGAUGUGGUAAAUACGUAAAUGAUGAAUAGAAGGAGAUGUGGUAAAUACGUCAAUGAAUAAAAGGAGAUGUAGUAAAUACGUCAAUGAAUAAAAGGAGAUGUGGUAAAUAAGUCAA